AUUUUUCAUAUUUUGGAAGCAUCUAUGGCGCAGAGACAGCUAAGAAACAAAGAGUUUCUAUAAUUACCUUUAAAAAGCAUUUUGACCCCUAUUUUUUGAGACACUCGACUUCUUUGCCAGCUCUGAUAAUAAACCCCGUUUUUGACAUUCAGGGAGCAACUCAACAGGAAGAGGAAGCAGGAACUAACCAGAAGAAGACUGUGGGGAUACUGAAUGCAGAGGGAAUAAAUCCAUUGUAGGUGGCCCAGGACCUUCUGACUCCAGAAGAAUUAGAAUCCUGGGUUAGGG
rnacentral:lncRNA from 1 species